rnacentral:pre_miRNA from 7 species
UCCUUGGCUAUGUAAGACCCCCUUUCAGGGACCCCCACUCUAGUCUCGGGAGUGAGAGAGCACCCAAAGAAACACGAGAAUCC